rnacentral:tRNA from 1 species
GCUCCCAUUAUACCACUAGUGCGGACUUUUAAUCCGCAGGUCCCAGGUUCGAUCCCUGGUGGGGGCA